UGGGGAAUUUUGGACAAUGGGGGCAACCCUGAUCCAGCCAUCCCGCGUGUGCGAUGAAGGCCUUCGGGUUGUAAAGCACUUUUGGCAGGGAAGAAACAGCCUGGGCUAAUAUCCCGGGCGACUGACGGUACCUGCAGAAUAAGCACCGGCUAACUACGUGCCAGCAGCCGCGGUAAUACGUAGGGUGCAAGCGUUAAUCGGAAUUACUGGGCGUAAAGCGUGCGCAGGCGGUUCGGAAAGAAAGGUGUGAAGUCCCAGGGCUUAACCUUGGAACUGCACUUUUAACUACCGGGCUAGAGUACGUCAGAGGGGGGUAGAAUUCCCCGUGUAGCAGUGAAAUGCGUAGAGAUGUGGAGGAAUACCGAUGGCGAAGGCAGCCCCCUGGGAUGAUACUGACGCUCAUGCACGAAAGCGUGGGGAGCAAACA
rnacentral:rRNA from 1 species